GGGGCUGUAGCUCAGUGGUCCAGUGCUUGCCUCGCAUGCAUGAGGCCCUGGGUUCAAUCCUCAGCACCA
rnacentral:tRNA from 1 species